AUUCCUUAGCUACAGGUUUUAGAUAAAGCAAUGUGCCUCUUGGGUAGUUUGGAAAAGAGUGAAAUGAGCUAAAAGAUAAUUGAGAAAUUAGAAAAUGUUAUCUACGUGUGAAGUUUUAUUCUAGUAGUUUAUCAUUCAGUGUACAUGGUAGUUUUUAAUUGUGAAGCUGCAGCUACAGAGAUUAAGGUCUCCAUUAAUAGAGAGUAUUUGGUGGAGACAGUAUAGACUGGGAUUCUUCCAUGAAGGGCUUGAGAUUACUUGAAAGCUUUUUUUUUUGUUGUUUUGUUUUUUUUUCAAGACAGGGUUUCGUAUAGCCCUGGCUGUCCUGGAACUCACUUUGUAGACCAGGCUGGCCUCGAACUCAGAAAUCUGCCUACCUCUGCCUCCCAAGUGCUGGGAUUAAAGGCGUGUGCCACCACUGCCCGGCUGCUUGAAAGUUUUGAAAGUGCUUUUGGACCUCUGCUUAUUGUGUUGUACUAAGGAGAUUAUUUCUUCUUUGUUAUCUUUUCCUUUCCUUUCUUUCUAAAUGUGUGUAUUGACUGUGAGGAAUUAGAUUUACUUUUGCAACUCUAGCUCUAUCAUCUGUUUAUGGAUCCUGCACCUCUCUCUCUAGUGUUGGUUUUUACCCAGGGCCUUGUACAUGGUAAAUGGCAAGUUCUUUACCACUGAGUCUUUUUUUUUUUUUUUUUUGCACAGCAUUGGCUUUUAGAUAACUUACUUCAUUCAUUGUCCCUCUGGAAUCUUGAACUUUGUUCAAGAUUAAUUAUUCAUGUUAUUUUCUCAAACUGACGCUGGUGUCUUUUAUUUUGUUUUAUCAUUCAGAUGGUAAUCCUGACCGCCAGUGAUAUUUGUGUCUUGUCAGCUACUCUGUGUCCUUUAUAUCCGUCUGCUGCUUUCCAUUACUGUUCAUGAGAAAGAAAUAGAUUCCUUCAUCCAUAGGUGAUUUGUUUCCUGUUUUCUUGCCUUAAGUCUCUGCUUACCUGUAGUUCACUUUCUGUUCUCUUACCUUAUUACUGUGCCCUUAAGUGUAAUUUUCUUUUUCAAAAAACUUGUAAAGUUGAAGGUUGAAGUUGAGGAUAUUAGCGUUGUGUUCUAGUUAUCUUGGAUCGGAUCCUAACCUUCCUUUCCAGGGCUGUGGUGUUCUCACCUCCCAAACCUGGGCUGGCCUUGAACACAAUGCCUUCUUGCAUUUAGCUCACUUCCAAGUUCUAGGACAUAGGCAGGUGGCAUUACACAUGGAUUAUCUUGACUCUUUAGAAAAAAAGGAAUUUGUGUGUGUGUGUGCGCGCACUCAAAGGUAUGUGGAGGCCAGAAGUCAACUUUUGGUAGUUGGUUCUCACCUUUCCCCUUGUUGGGCCUGGUUAUUUUUUUAUUUUUGUGGCUAUAAUCCAGGCCUCUCAUAUACCCAGAGAAAUGCUAGGAUUACAUAGUUAAGCCAGUACAUAUAUAUUUUUUUCAUGGAUUUCAAAGAUUGAAACUCAGGUCACCAAGCUUGUGUGGCUGAUGCUAUCCCCUGGCCCCAUUUGGUUUAUGAAUGUAAUAUUUAUUUAUAACUUAGUUGCUUGCCUUUUUGAUAUAGUACAUUGGCUUCCUUUGUGUAUAUGAAUGGCAUUUAUAAAUGCUAUGAGGAGUCGGGCGUGGUGGCGCACACCUUUAAUCCCAGCACUCUAGAGGCAAAGGCAGGUGGAUUUCUGAAUUCGAGGCCAACCUGGUCUACAAAAUGAGUUCCAGGACAGCCAGGGCUACACAGAGAAACCCUGUCUCAAAAAACCAAACCAAACCAAACCAAAAGAAAAAAAAGAAAAAAAAAAGCGCUGAGGAAGAGUGAACAAGAUGUGGCUAGAGCAAAGAAGGUAGUGAGCUGGGUAAGGCAUGG
rnacentral:lncRNA from 1 species